AUGGAUGAUGAAGCCAUGAGAGGCAGAGGAGAGGAUGCAGAGACGGGGGAGAGGGAGAGGAAGACCGAGGGGGCUAAGAAGGUGCCCUUCUUCAGCAUGUUCAGGUACGCCAGCCGUGCCGACAUGGCGCUGAUGGCCGUCGGCACCGUGGCAGCCAUGGUUAACGGCAUGGGCGACCCGCUCAUGACCGUCGUCUUCGCCGCCGUCAUCGACUGUUUCGGCGCCGGCGACAACGUCCUCCAGCGGGUCAGCAAGGUUGUUAUGUACUACAUCUAUUUGGGAAUUGGGACGGCACUAGCUUCAUUUCUCCAGGUGUCCUGCUGGACAAUGACUGGAGAAAGGCAGUCAAUACGCAUCCGAUCUCUAUACCUCGAAGCUGUUCUAAAACAGGAUGUUUCAUUCUUUGAUGUGGAGAUGACAACUGGGGAAGCAAUUUCUAGAAUGUCUGCGGACACUGUACUGGUCCAAGAUGCCCUUGGAGAGAAGGUAGGCAAGUAUGCACAGCUUUUGACAACCUUUGUUGGAUGUUUUAUCAUCGGAUUCAUAAGAGGCUGGAUGUUAGCUCUUGUUAUGCUCGCAUGCAUACCUCCAAAUAUUCUGUCUUUUGCAAUUAUGUCUCGGUUACGUUCUCAAAUAUCAGCCAGGAGGCAGGCAUCAUAUGCCGAUGCGGGCAAUGUCGUCGAGCAGACCAUUGGAGCUAUAAAAACGCAGGUUAUCUCCUUCAAUGGUGAGAAGAAAGCAAUCGCAUUGUACAACACUCUCACAAAAAGGGCAUAUAAGGCUACAGUCUUGGAAGGGAUUGCCACUGGUCUAGGAACAGGCGGUAUCUUUUCUGUUUUCUUCUGCGGUUACUCUCUAGCCUUUUGGUAUGGUGCUAAGUUAAUCAUCAACGAAGGUUAUACUGGAGGGCAAGUCGUCAAUAUCGUACUUGCAAUGUUAACUGGUUCAAUGGCUAUAGGUACCGCAUCGCCCUCAAUUUCUGCUAUUGCAGAAGGGCAAUCUGCAGCAUAUAGGUUGUUUGAGAUAAUGAACAAAGAACCAAAGAUUGACAUCACUGACACUUCUGGAAUAGUAUUGGACGAUAUCAGGGGCGAUGUUGAACUCAACAAUGUGUUCUUUAGAUAUCCUGCAAGGCCUGAGCAGUUGAUACUUAAUGGGUUGUCUCUACAUGUACCUAGUGGUACUACAAUGGCUAUAGUUGGAGAGAGUGGAAGUGGUAAAUCAACAAUAAUUAGUCUGGUGGAGAGAUUCUACGACCCACAAGCUGGCAAUGUGCUGAUAGAUGGAAUCAACAUCAAGAGUAUGAAACUCCAGUGGAUAAGAGGAAUGAUCAGUCUUGUUAGCCAAGAACCAUUGCUUUUUAUGACCUCCAUCAAAGACAACAUAACCUAUGGUAAAGAGGAUGCUACGCUUGAAGAGAUCAAGAGAGCAGCUGAGCUUGCAAAUGCAGCAAAUUUCAUCGAAAAGUUGCCUAAUGCGUAUGAGACAAUGGUUGGUCAGAAUGGUGCUCAACUUUCUGGAGGGCAGAAACAAAGGAUUGCCAUUGCAAGAGCAAUCCUUAAAAAUCCAAGAGUCCUUCUGUUGGAUGAAGCUACUAGUGCUUUGGAUGUGGAGUCUGAGCGGGUAGUUCAAGAAGCAUUAAAUCGGAUCAUGGUAGGGAUAACUACACUCAUUGUUGCUCAUCGGCUGAGUACAGUCAGAAAUGCAGAUUGCAUAGCAGUGGUUCAUCAAGGAAAGGUAGCUGAACGAGGUGUCCAUGAUGACCUGAUAAAGGAUCCUGAUGGAGCUUACUCUCAUCUUAUUCGGCUACAACAGGCCAAUACUGAAGAAACGCCUGAGAUGCCAUAUGUGGCAGGUUCAAGAUUCAAAAGUACAAGUUUAUCUUUGGAACAAUCUAUCAGGGAUUCUCCCAGGAAUAGAAGACAACACUCCAGUAAAUCCCUUGGACUGUCUAGAUCGGAUGAUUUGUUCAGGCAUGUUGCUAGCAGAGAGGAACACCUGGAAAUUGGUGAUAGUGAGGCUCCAAAGAAAGCACCAAUUGGACGCCUUUUUAAUCUUAGCAGGCCAGAAGCACCAAUUCUCCUGUUAGCUAUCAUAGCUGCCACUGUGCAUGGACUUCUUUUCCCAUCAUUCAGUAUUAUGAUGUCUGGUGGUAUAAGAACAUUCUACUAUCCAGCACACCAACUUCGAAAAGAUUCAACAUUUUGGGCAUUGAUGUGCCUUCUGAUGGCAAUCAUUUCCCUGGUUUCAAUCCAAUUGGAAUUUUACUUAUUUGGAGUAGCCGGUGGGAAACUUAUAGAACGUGUCCGUGCUUUGUCUUUCCAAAGCAUCAUUCAUCAAGAGGUUGCUUGGUUUGAUGAUCCUUCGAAUUCCAGUGGCGCACUUGGUGCAAGGUUGUUUAUUGAUGCUUUGAACAUCCGACGCCUUGUAGGAGAUAACUUGGCCGUACUAGUGCAGUGCACCGUAACACUUAUUUGUGGCUUUGGCAUAGCAUUUGCUUCGGACUGGAAGCUUACACUGAGUAUCAUAGGUGUCAUUCCUUUUCUGGGUUUGCAGAAUUAUAUCCAAUUGAGGUUUCUGAAAGGGUUCGGUGAAGAUGCUAAGGUGAUGUAUGAAGAUGCAAGUCAAGUUGUGGCUGAAGCAAUUGGUAGUAUUCGAACUGUAGCAUCUUUUGGUGCAGAGAAGAGAGUGAUUACCCUAUACAGCCAAAAAUGCCAGGCUUCAAUGAAACAGGGAAUUAGAAGUGGAAUGGUCGGAGGUGUUGGUUUCAGUUUCUCAAAUUUAAUGUUGUAUCUCACAUAUGCUCUUUGUUUCUAUGUUGGUGCACAGUUUGUACAUGACGGCAAAUCAACCUUUCAAAAUGUUUUCAGAGUUUACUUUGCCUUGAUUUUCACCGCUUAUGGAAUUUCCCAAACAAGUGACAUGGCAUCAGACUCAACAAAAGGUCAAGAAUCUGCGACAUCCAUACUAGCAUUCAUAGACAGGAAGCCCAAAAUUGACUCGACCAGUGAUGAAGGUAUAAAGCUAGAAAAAGUUGAUGGCACCAUAGAGUUCAACCAUGUAAGGUUCAAGUACCCAUCCCGACCAGAUGUCCAAAUAUUCAGCGACUUCACUUUGGGUAUUGCUUCCGGAAAGACUACCGCACUUGUCGGAGAGAGUGGAAGUGGCAAGUCCACAGUAAUUGCUUUGCUGGAGCGAUUCUAUGAUCCGGACUCUGGCACAAUCUCACUAGACGGAACAGAACUCAGAAAGUUAACACUGAGUUGGUUAAGAGAUCAAAUGGGACUAGUAAGCCAAGAACCAGUACUUUUCAAUGACACAAUUCGUGCCAACAUAGCAUAUGGAAAGCGAGGAGAAGCAACUGAAGAAGAGAUAAUCACCGUGGCCAAGGCAGCCAAUGCUCAUGAGUUCAUAUCGGGCUUGCCUCAGGGAUACAACACCAACGUUGGCGAGAGAGGAACACAACUAUCUGGUGGGCAAAAGCAACGGGUAGCUAUUGCCAGGGCGAUCUUGAAGGACCCUAGAAUACUUCUGCUCGACGAAGCAACAAGCGCCCUGGACGCUGAAUCAGAGCGUAUUGUUCAAGACACACUGGACCAGGUAAUGGUCAGCAGGACCACCAUUGUCGUAGCACACCGCCUGUCGACGAUCAAAGGGGCAGAUACGAUCGCAGUCAUCAAAGAUGGUUCAGUUGCCGAGAAGGGAAAGCAUGAAUCUCUCAUGAGCAUCAAGGGUGGAGUCUACGCAUCACUGGUCGAACUACACUCGAAGGCGGCAUAA
rnacentral:rRNA from 1 species